AACGCUGGCGGCGUGCCUAACACAUGCAAGUCGAGCGAGUGAAUCUCCUUCGGGAGUGAAGCUAGCGGCGGACGGGUGAGUAACACGUGGGCAACCUGCCUCAUAGAGGGGAAUAGCCUUUCGAAAGGAAGAUUAAUACCGCAUAAGAUUGUAGCUUCGCAUGAAGUAGCAAUUAAAGGAGCAAUCCGCUAUGAGAUGGGCCCGCGGCGCAUUAGCUAGUUGGUGAGGUAACGGCUCACCAAGGCGACGAUGCGUAGCCGACCUGAGAGGGUGAUCGGCCACAUUGGGACUGAGACACGGCCCAGACUCCUACGGGAGGCAGCAGUGGGGAAUAUUGCACAAUGGGGGAAACCCUGAUGCAGCAACGCCGCGUGAGUGAAGAAGGCCUUAGGGUUGUAAAGCUCUGUUCUAUGGGACGAAGUCCUUGACUGUGAAUAAUGGUCAAGGUUGACGGUACCAUAGGAGGAAGCCCCGGCUAACUACGUG
rnacentral:rRNA from 1 species